AAAUAUUUGAGAGCUAAAUGGAUAAAACGUACAACUAUCACUUUGUAAUGUUCCUGAAGUGUUCAAACGUUACUCAGUGUUUCCCUGAUGGAUUACUUUUCUCCUCCAUGGAUUCUAAACAUGUCACGGCUCAUAACUGCUGAAGUCUGGACAGAAAGGAAUCAGGUGACAGGAUCCUUGACACCUGACUGGCUGCUGACUGAGGAAUGACCUGAACAACAGGACUGCUGUCCAGAUAGAUUCUACAGAUCAGUUGCGAACGAUUCUCUCCCUGAGACUCUGAUCAAAGCUCUCAGUGUUCUUCCUCCGUGGAGGAACUCUCCAGAACUCCAGAAGAUGAACGUGUUGCUGUUCUUCACUGUGAUCUGCUGGAUGUUCGCAGGUUCAGUCCAGAAAGCCAUCUCAGCUGUUGAAGGACAAACUGUCUCUCUGCCGUGUGAAGCUCCGAACCAGGAGAACAUCAGAGUGGUAGAGUGGAGCAGAUCUGACCCGGGGAAGAAUCAGUAUAUUUUCUUAUACAGAGAUGGACACAUUGAUCCAGAUAAUCAUCCUUCUUAUAAGAACAGAGUGAAUCUGAAGGACAGAGCGAUGAAGGACGGAGACGCGAGUCUGAUCCUGAGGAACGUGACAGCUGCUGAUGGAGGAAUAUAUCAGUGUUUUAUUGUUCGGAGUGAAGAACAUGAGAAUACUGAGUCCAUCAGCUCCAUCUCUCUGUUGGUGGAAACAGUUGCAGGACACACAGGGAGAGGAUAUGUUGGUCCAGUUGUUGGUCAGACUGUAGCUGCGGGACACGGUGGAGGACGUGUUGGUCCAAUUGUGGCUGCUGUUUUUGCUCAAAGAGGAGGAUCUGGAGAGGACGGACGCGGGAGAGCACAUGUUGGUCUGAUUGUGGCUGCCGUUGUUCUUGUUGUUGGUGGUGGUGUUGGUUCUGCGAUGUUUCGAAGACACAUGAAGAAGAAUUCAGACCUGAGCACUGAAGUCUGUUGACUCUUCAUCCUCCUCUGUUCCACUAUGGGUUCAUCCAGGAGGAUGAGCUGAUCUCCACCCCCACUCCCUUGUGUACAAUUGUGCUCAAAGGGUCAUGCUGCAUGAAAAAGGGAUUGUCAUCAGUAAACAGCACUGUUAGAUUGCUGUGAAAUUUUAUGUUACAUGUCUUCAAAUGAGACUAAUACUUUUGUGACUUAUGAAACUUAUCAGCAUACCACCUGCUCAAAACAAAGGAACAAACAAAAAAAAAAGCAAAAGUACUUCACUGAUCCUGGCAUAAAAUCAAAUGAAAU